CGGAGGGUGCAAGCGUUAUCCGGAAUCAUUGGGUUUAAAGGGUCCGCAGGCGGACUUAUAAGUCAGUGGUGAAAGCCUACAGCUUAACUGUAGAACUGCCAUUGAUACUGUAAGUCUUGAAUUCGGUCGAAGUGGGCGGAAUAUGACAUGUAGCGGUGAAAUGCUUAGAUAUGUCAUAGAACACCGAUAGCGAAGGCAGCUCACUAGGCCUGGAUUGACGCUCAUGGACGAAAGCGUGGGGAGCAAACAGGAUUAGAUACCCUGGUAAUCCACGCCGUAAACUAUCAAUACUCGUUCUCGGCGAUAUACAGUCGGGGACUAAGCGAAAGUGAUAAGUAUUGCACCUGGGGAGUACGAUCGCAAGGUUG
rnacentral:rRNA from 1 species